rnacentral:tRNA from 1 species
GCCUAGUUAGCUUGGUUGGUAGCGCGUCUGCCUUGUAAGCGCUAGGCCGCGGGUUCGAUCCCCGCCCGGGGCG